rnacentral:piRNA from 1 species
UAGCAACAGCAAGUUAAC